GUUUUACACUAAACAAUAUUGUUACAAAUGUAGUCUUAUUAUAACAUAAUAAAACUUUCAACAACGGAUCUCUUGGCUCUCGCAUCGAUGAAGAACGCAGCGAAAUGCGAUAAGUAAUGUGAAUUGCAGAAUUCAGUGAAUCAUCGAAUCUUUGAACGCACCUUGCGCUCCUUGGUAUUCCGAGGAGCAUGCCUGUUUGAGUGUCAUGAAACUCUCAAACUCUUGUUUUGGAUGCAAAUCCUUGCUUGAGUUUGGACUUGGGUGUUUGCCGGUGAUGAACCGACUCGCCUUAAACAUAUUAGCUGGACUUGUCUAUAUGACUGGUUUGACUUGGCAUAAUAAGUAUUUUGCUAAGGACAUCUUCGGAUGGUUUGUAUUUAGGCUCUGUGUCUGCUAACUAAACCAUCACUUGAAGUGCAUCUUUAUGGUGUUGCUUCCUGUGUAUACUUUGACAUCUGACCUCAAAUCAGGUAGGACUACCCGCUGAACUUAAGCAUAUCAAUAAGCGGAGGAA
rnacentral:rRNA from 1 species